UCUACGUUCUUGGUGUUAAUAAUAAUAACUACUUGAAUAAAAUGAAUUUGAAAAGCUUAAUUUAUAUGUUAACCACCAUAUUUUGCCUAAUGGUGUCCGUGUAUGCGGUUAAAAAUCCUCCAGAUGAAGCUAAUCCUACUCGUAACCCACCACCUGGUUAUCCACAAAUACCACCACUACCAACUGCACCAAUAAAUAUACCACAACCACGACCACCACAAGGAGAAUCAGCCACUAACGACAAAUAAAUUUACGAACAAAGCUGCAGUAUCCAAGAGCUUGGUCACAUUUUGAAAAUACAUAAUAUUAUUACUAAUACGUGUAUAUUGUAAAAUGUUCAUCUUUUUUUAUCACAAUUAUUAUGUUUCAACCUUCAGAUUUUUCUAAUAACAAUGUAUUCUAAACACAAUAUUCUGUUACCUAUCAUAUAAAAUAUAUUAUGUCUAUUACAUAUACCAAUAAAAAUAAU